AUUGAACGCUGGCGGCAGGCCUAACACAUGCAAGUCGAGCGGAUGAAGGGAGCUUGCUCCUGGAUUCAGCGGCGGACGGGUGAGUAAUGCCUAGGAAUCUGCCUGGUAGUGGGGGAUAACGUCCGGAAACGGGCGCUAAUACCGCAUACGUCCUGAGGGAGAAAGUGGGGGAUCUUCGGACCUCACGCUAUCAGAUAAGCCUAGGUCGGAUUAGCUAGUUGGUGGGGUAAAGGCCUACCAAGGCGACGAUCCGUAACUGGUCUGAGAGGAUGAUCAGUCGCACUGGAGCUGAGACACGGUCCAGACUCCUACGGGAGGCAGCAGUGGGGAAUAUUGGACAAUGGGCGAAAGCCUGAUCCAGCCAUGCCGCGUGUGUGAAGAAGGUCUUCGGAUUGUAAAGCACUUUAAGUUGGGGGGAAGGGCAGUAAGUUAAUACCUUGCUGGUUUGACGUUACCAACAGAAUAAGCACCGGCUAACUUCGUG
rnacentral:rRNA from 1 species